rnacentral:lncRNA from 1 species
UACUUAAAUGUUUAUGGUUAUUUAUGAAUUUCAUUUAUUCACAUUAUAUUAUUAUAGUAUUUAAUACUGAACUUGCACAAAAUCUUGGAGUGGCCGUGUAUCUCUGAAUCGUUACCAUUAACAACAGUCAAUGUCGUUUGAUCUACAGCCCGUUGCUGCCACCAUUAAGGCCUCAACUAAUCGAUACUUCAAGCUGAACUCUUGACAAAAUUGGCGCCAUUGUUCCCAAAGUUUAUAAAUGCCAGGUGCUUCUACGCAUAAAAACCCAAGCAAGUAUGUUGUUGUGAAUAGCGCAUAUACAAACACUGGGCGAGGCGGCCACAAUCUUUCGUCCUCAAAUUAGGGACUACAGUAUUUUAUAUUGAACUUGCACAAAACCCAGGAGUGGCCGUGUAUCUCUGAAUCGUUACCAUU